CCUACGGGUGGCAGCAGUGAGGAAUAUUGGUCAAUGGACGAGAGUCUGAACCAGCCAAGUAGCGUGAAGGAUGACUGCCCUAUGGGUUGUAAACUUCUUUUAUAAGGGAAUAAAACGAGGCACGUGUGCCUUUUUGCAUGUACUUUAUGAAUAAGGAUCGGCUAACUCCGUGCCAGCAGCCGCGGUAAUACGGAGGAUCCGAGCGUUAUCCGGAUUUAUUGGGUUUAAAGGGAGCGUAGGUGGAUUUUUAAGUCAGUUGUGAAAGUCUGCGGCUCAACCGUAAAAUUGCAGUUGAAACUGGGAGUCUUGAGUACAGUAGAGGUGGGCGGAAUGCGUGGUGUAGCGGUGAAAUGCUUAGAUAUCACGAAGAACUCCGAUUGCGAAGGUAGCUUGCUGGGCUGUAACUGACACUGAUGCUCGAAAGUGUGGGUAUCGAACAGGAUUAGAUACCCGAGUAGUC
rnacentral:rRNA from 1 species